rnacentral:tRNA from 1 species
AACCGUGUGGCCUAAUGGAUAAGGCAUCGAGCUUCGGAUCCGAAAACUGCAGGUUCGAGUCCUGCCAGGGUUG